rnacentral:rRNA from 1 species
GAUGAACGCUGGCUACAGGCUUAACACAUGCAAGUCGAGGGGAAACGACGGGGAAGCUUGCUUCCCCGGGCGUCGACCGGCGCACGGGUGAGUAACGCGUAUCCAACCUGCCUCUGACUGAGGGAUAACCCGCCGAAAGUCGGCCUAAUACCUCAUGGCAUCGUCUGCGGGCAUCCAACGACGAUUAAAGAUUUCAUCGGUCAGGGACGGGGAUGCGUCUGAUUAGCUUGUUGGCGGGGUAACGGCCCACCAAGGCUACGAUCAGUAGGGGUUCUGAGAGGAAGGUCCCCCACAUUGGAACUGGGACACGGUCCACACUCCUACGGGAGGCAGCAGUGAGGGAUACUGGUCAAUGGGCGGGAGCCUGAACCAGCCAAGUAGCGUGCAGGAUGGCGGCCCUAUGGGUUGUAAACUGCUUUUAUGCGGGGAUAAAGUGAGGGACGUGUCCUUCAUUGCAGGUACCGCAUGAAUAAGGACCGGCUAAUUCCGUG